CGGAACGGGUGAGUAACGCGUGAGGAACCUGCCUCAAAGAGGGGGACAACAGUUGGAAACGACUGCUAAUACCGCAUAAGCCCACAGGUCGGCAUCGACCAGAGGGAAAAGGAGCAAUCCGCUUUGAGAUGGCCUCGCGUCCGAUUAGCUAGUUGGUGAGGUAAUAGCCCACCAAGGCGACGAUCGGUAGCCGGACUGAGAGGUUGAACGGCCACAUUGGGACUGAGACACGGCCCAG
rnacentral:rRNA from 1 species